UGCGCUUUUCCGUUCUUUGCGCUUUUCCGGCGCUUGAACCUGAAACGAACGGAAGAGACGAAAACGCCGCCUCUUUCGAAGCGGCGUUUCGA
rnacentral:sRNA from 1 species